UCUUGUGUCUAAGCUGGUGUCUGGCCACCAGAGGCAGGUCUGCAGGGCCUUGGCUACUGUGCUAGGUCUGCUGAUGGCCACGAGCCUUUACUCCCAUCUCUGCCUUAGCAGUGGGGGUGUCUGAAGGCUCAGGGGAUACACAGGUCCUCUAGGUUCCUGGGGAGAUGAUGAGUGAGAGUUUUGACCAGGAGUGGACACUGAGGAGAGCAAAGAUCACCUGGUGCUCAUCAAGCCACACUUCCAGAGAUGAGGAAAAAUGAAGAUUGCAGAGACGAUGUUUGAUCAGAAGUCUGGUUCAAUAGGAUGAAGCCCAAGAAAUGAAGUAGCCACGUUAUGGAAAAAACCUGGAUUCCUGCAUGACUGUGUGGAGCAGAAACUCCCAUUCACCCUCACUGAGCCAUGAUGUAACAAGAAUCAAAACCUUCUUGAUUUAAGCCAAUGAGAUAAUACAGACCUCUGUGACUGAGUAAUGUUA